rnacentral:misc_RNA from 1 species
UUUUAAUGUUAAUGCUGUUUCAGUACACUCUGAUGAAAUGUAAUAGAAGGAACUCUGAAUUCCAUGAUCAAUAUUCCAUUAUUGUCUGCCAUAUGUUUCAGAGUUUCUUUGUGAACAUGUGGCAAGUGCAGUAUACAGUAAUUCGUUGUUUAGCUGCUUGUGACAGUUUGGGAAAAAAAAGAAAAGAAAAAAAAAACCACCUUGUUGAGGGGACUGCUUUCUAUGAUGCAGGUGAAAACAUGGGCAAAACUGUUAAA